CCGACUGUCAGCGCGCCGGGCGCGGCGGGGCCGAGACAGAUAAAACCAUCGACCCGUCGCCGCCAGCGCUUCGGCUUUAUCGAUCCGACGGGAAUUUCACUUGCUGUGCAGAUCCCGCUGUCCGGCUGUCAGACACCGGCUGUUUCCUUGAGAAACCCUCCAUUGAGAGCAAAUUACACAGAACUCUUCCUGGACAGCGAGAUAUAGCACUUAACAGCAGGAUGCUUCUUUCACUUUCUACCCCUGGCAGAAAACCAUGAUUGGUGCCUCUGUCGAAUAUGGGACAGGAAGAGUUAACACACUGACAGACAGCAUUUUUUACCUUCAGUCAAUAUGAACAAGGCCCCAAGACUAUGAUUCCAAACAUCUGGAUUUCAUCAAUAUGUGAUCUGUCAUCGUAUAUUGGCAUUCCCCAGUCCCCGCGCCAGAGCAAUGCGGCUGGUUUUAUUAAUACGUCAAAUACAUUAUCCGUGUAAUACACUUGUCUGGCUGGGGCCUCCCGCUGGGGCGGGGCGGCGGAUUUGAAUGUAUGAUGAAUCAGUUUGCAUUACAUGUUCGUAAGUCAUCAUUUGUCAGGAUUAAUAGGCAUCCCUGGUCGAGGAGGUGGGGGUAGGGCAGGCAGGAGAGAGAUGUGUAUUUAGCUGUGGCCCAUACUUAUCUGCUGGUGCCCAGGCAUACCCUGAAAGCAGCUGUGCUCCCUCUUACCCAGACCCCGGGAUGGCAGCUGGCACUCAAGGUACCAGAUGUCACAGAGGUGACAUUUUCAGCAGUUCCAGGGUCACUUAGAACCAAAUAGGCUUAUUGGUCUCUGCUUUGGGAUUGCCAAACAACUGGAAAGUAUAGGUAGGGACCCUUUGCACAAGCUGGCUAACUCUUACUCAUCCUUCAGGACUCAACUUAUAAUUCCUUCUUCCAGGAAGCCUUCCUUGACUCCCCUUGACUUGGCACACAGUGUUAUUAUUGCUUGUGUGUGUCUAUAAUUGUCUU